rnacentral:rRNA from 1 species
UGGGGAAUUUUGGACAAUGGGCGAAAGCCUGAUCCAGCAAUGCCGCGUGUGUGAAGAAGGCCUUCGGGUUGUAAAGCACUUUUGUCCGGAAAGAAAUCCUUGGCUCUAAUACAGUCGGGGGAUGACGGUACCGGAAGAAUAAGCACCGGCUAACUACGUGCCAGCAGCCGCGGUAAUACGUAGGGUGCAAGCGUUAAUCGGAAUUACUGGGCGUAAAGCGUGCGCAGGCGGUUUGCUAAGACCGAUGUGAAAUCCCCGGGCUCAACCUGGGAACUGCAUUGGUGACUGGCAGGCUAGAGUAUGGCAGAGGGGGGUAGAAUUCCACGUGUAGCAGUGAAAUGCGUAGAGAUGUGGAGGAAUACCGAUGGCGAAGGCAGCCCCCUGGGCCAAUACUGACGCUCAUGCACGAAAGCGUGGGGAGCAAACAGGAUUAGAUACCCUGGUAGUCCACGCCCUAAACGAUGUCAACUAGUUGUUGGGGAUUCAUUUCCUUAGUAACGUAGCUAACGCGUGAAGUUGACCGCCUGGGGGAGUACGGUCGCAAGAUUAAAACUCAAAGGAAUUGACGGGGUCAUAGCUGUUUCCU